rnacentral:rRNA from 1 species
UACGGAGGGGGCUAGCGUUGUUCGGAAUUACUGGGCGUAAAGCGCACGUAGGCGGCUAUUCAAGUCGGGGGUGAAAGCCCGGGGCUCAACCCCGGAAUUGCCCUCGAAACUAGAUGGCUAGAAUCUUGGAGAGGCGAGUGGAAUUCCGAGUGUAGAGGUGAAAUUCGUAGAUAUUCGGAAGAACACCAGUGGCGAAGGCGACUCGCUGGACAAGUAUUGACGCUGAGGUGCGAAAGCGUGGGGAGCAAACAGG